rnacentral:miRNA from 1 species
AAAAGUUAUCUUCCAGCCGA